AGAGUUUGAUCCUGGCUCAGGACGAACGCUGGCGGCGUGCCUAAUACAUGCAAGUAGAACGCUGAAGGAGGAGCUUGCUUCUCUGGAUGAGUUGCGAACGGGUGAGUAACGCGUAGGUAACCUGCCUGGUAGCGGGGGAUAACUAUUGGAAACGAUAGCUAAUACCGCAUAAGAGUAGAUGUUGCAUGACAUUUGCUUAAAAGGUGCACUUGCAUCACUACCAGAUGGACCUGCGUUGUAUUAGCUAGUUGGUGGGGUAAGGGCUCACCAAGGCGACGAUACAUAGCCGACCUGAGAGGGUGAUCGGCCACACUGGGACUGAGACACGGCCCAGACUCCUACGGGAGGCAGCAGUAGGGAAUCUUCGGCAAUGGACGGAAGUCUGACCGAGCAACGCCGCGUGAGUGAAGAAGGUUUUCGGAUCGUAAAGCUCUGUUGUAAGAGAAGAACGAGUGUGAGAGUGGAAAGUUCACACUGUGACGGUAUCUUACCAGAAAGGGACGGCUAACUACGUGCCAGCAGCCGCGGUAAUACGUAGGUCCCGAGCGUUGUCCGGAUUUAUUGGGCGUAAAGCGAGCGCAGGCGGUUAGAUAAGUCUGAAGUUAAAGGCUGUGGCUUAACCAUAGUAGGCUUUGGAAACUGUUUAACUUGAGUGCAAGAGGGGAGAGUGGAAUUCCAUGUGUAGCGGUGAAAUGCGUAGAUAUAUGGAGGAACACCGGUGGCGAAAGCGGCUCUCUGGCUUGUAACUGACGCUGAGGCUCGAAAGCGUGGGGAGCAAACAGGAUUAGAUACCCUGGUAGUCCACGCUGUAAACGAUGAGUGCUAGGUGUUAGANAGACAGAUCUAAGAGUUCAAAACCAGCUUUAUUAUUUGAAAAAGUGAGUGGUUUAAGAACAGUUUUUCCUGGAACAUUCAAGGCUGUAACAUCGUGUUUAUUUUUAGCGACAUCAAUGCCCACAUAAAGCAUGGGAGUACCUCCAGAUGUAGUAUUUCAAGUCUACUUGGUUAUCCACGAAUUUUUUGCCUUGUUACCUUAGACGAGAUAAAACGUCUAUGCGUUAUCAAACUCAUUACCAAUUGAAACAAAAAACUGUGGUUAGAGCCUUUCGGAAAUCGUCAAGCGAUUGGAGGGAAUAAACUAAUCCACAGUGGCUUAUUCCAAGUAUACCACUUGGGCUUUGGCAGUAGCUAACUGCGCUAAAUAUAAUAUAAGGAGAAAUAGAUGGAUUUAUGGUUUUCUGAAGU
rnacentral:rRNA from 1 species